UAUAGACCUUCUCUUUCUCCUCAGGAACUAUAAACAGCUUUGUUCCCAAUGCCUCUGCACAGGACACCAUGCCACAGGUGUGGACAUUUUGCUAAUGUCUUGCUUUAUUAGUUAAUAGCAUAAAUAUCUCAGGCCCCCUCUGAACUGCUGCAAAAUAAUUCUGUGUUUGUGCGGGAUUGAAUGAUUACAUUUCCUCACUGCAGAGUCCCAACUCUGAGUCCCGUUAUGGCCUGGACCCAGAGCUCCUUCCCAGCGCUGUAAGUGAUUUGUAAGGUCGUUGUUGCUGUUGGAAGUUUUAGUGUGUCUGGGCCUUUACACCUCUGUUUCUCCCAGGUGAAGGUGAUGGCAGAGGACAGGGCAGAGUGGGAGGGCAAGGUCUUCGUCUCGGAGCCUUUUUCUCGUCUUCCUCCUCUGGCAACAACUCCUUGCAUUAUAGAGGACAGAGGUAAUGCAAGUCCUCAUGCUAUCCGCUCUGUGUCGUACGUUGUGCCCUGUGACGGGCAAAUGGCGGUGAUCAGCCGUCUGCCACUGGGAGCCCUGGUCACUCCUUUGUUGAAACAAAAUGCUGGAGAGGUUCAUUUUUAGCAACUCUUCAUUACUCCUUUAAGUUACCACUACAGAAACCUCUACAAGGCCGUUCCUGUGUGUUUUAAAGUAUGCAUUUGCUUCCUGUAGAAGUCCCUCCCACUGUGCAAAGAGCCAGACUGUGUGGUUGGUUGUAGUGGGUGUGGAGCCUCCAUGUGCGCAGCAAUGGGCUGGCAGGAUUGUGGUCAAAGGUUUUACUGUCCGUUCUGCGGUAAACUAAGCGAAGGUAAGAUUUACGAGCCUACUAACCCUGAACCAGGAUUAUUUCCAUUAGAAACAACAACAGUCCCCCUCUCCUCUCUCUUGUCUUAGUGCCAUGGCAACACUACCAGCCUACCAAAGGGGUGGAAGGGGUUCGGGUCGAUAAAGACAAGAGGCCUGAACUCAGUAUGGGAUCAUAUGAAAUAAUCCAUUCUCAGAAGGUCAGCUCCACUUACUGCACUUGUUUGUUUGCAUGUUAGAUAAGAUGCACCUUAUUUUAAACAGACUGUACGUACU
ensembl:lncRNA